rnacentral:lncRNA from 1 species
AGCAAUCUUACAUGGCUAAUAGAGUGGAGGUUGAGAAACCUCACCGUCUGACAUCAGCAGGAGGAGCUCAAGUGGGCCUUGGAAUCGCCCGUGCUGCCAUGGAAGUUCUAUGCACCGCGAGCAGUCCCAACGGCGCUUUCACUUCAUAUGGUGUGAUAACCUGAACUCUGUACAUCAAGCAGUAAUCUUAUUGUUACCACUCUUUUCACAAACAAAUAGUAGCAAGCAUAGCAGUUAUAGGCACGUUCAUACAUCCGAUCAAUAACAACAUCAUGCCCACGCGUAUCACCACUCUUGUGCCAAUGGCAUACCAGCAGGAAAGUAUCAUUACAUGGUUUAUUGUGCUCAGCUUAUCAAUCACUACUACCAAUUAAUUCGCACGGCGAAACAAUGCAUCAUUAUCUAAUGGUUGUUCAGGGCGGCCUGAGUUGAUGCAGUAGUACCUUUCUUUUGAUGCAGUAGUCGUGGUCGCUGCAGCAGGCACAGCAGAUGUCUCAACCUCCUCUUUCGUCUUUGG